rnacentral:rRNA from 1 species
UGAGGAAUAUUGGUCAAUGGACGGAAGUCUGAACCAGCCAUGCCGCGUGCAGGAAAACGGCUCUAUGAGUUGUAAACUGCUUUUGUAAGAGGGUAAAAAGGUGUACGUGUAUACCAUUGAAAGUAUCUUACGAAUAAGGAUCGGCUAACUCCGUGCCAGCAGCCGCGGUAAUACGGAGGAUUCGAGCGUUAUCCGGAUUUAUUGGGUUUAAAGGGUGCGUAGGUGGCACUGUAAGUUAGUGGUUAAAUGCUAUGGCUCAACCAUGGUUUGCCAUUAAGACUAUAGAGCUAGAGAGUAGAUGCAGCUGGCGGAAUGUGUAGUGUAGCGGUGAAAUGCAUAGAUAUUACACAGAACACCGAUUGCGAAGGCAGCUGGCUAAUCUAUAUCUGACACUGAUGCACGAAAGCGUGGGGAUCAAACG